GUAUUCAAUGUAUUCGUUAGAAAUCAACUAAUUGUCCUAAUAUCAAUAGCAAUUGAAUAGCAUUUCAGUAAUCAAAUUUUGAUGAAGAAAUCAAGAAAUUCAUUUCAAAGAAUAAUUUAAAAAGGUUGUUAACUCCUAAUAAUUACGUUCUUAACAAUUAAUAAUCAAAUGACGAAAAUGAUCAAGAAACAAAAUCGACAAUUUAAUCCAAUACGAAUACGAUUCUAUUAAUAUCCAGUCUGAGUAACACUUCAAACAUGACAACAACUUUGCCUUUGUGCCCUCAAGGCUCUCAACUGACCACUCAGAUUUUUUUUCCCUUAAUAGUGACAAUCACUUUGAGUUUACAUAUUGGUUAAUCAUCCGUAGUGAUUAAAGUUAAUUGAGAGUAAUCAUGUUGGUGGAAGAAGAGAGUGAUAAAAAUGAUAAGUUAUCAAUUGAGUGUCAAAACGCAAAAGAUUAAUAAACGACGAGAUUAAAGAAAAUGUUCAACGAGUCUAAUUUUUACUCGAAUCUUGAUCAAUAUUAAUAUCAAAUAGUUGCAGAACUUUAAUUGCAAUAGUAACAAUCAAUUAAUCUCACAGCUUUCAGGUUGUUGCUGUUCUCUCCUCGAUUCUUUCAAUCCAUUGUUUGAUUUUGGUCAAAUUGAUAUUCACAAAAAGAAGUAAAAGUUUGUAUUCUAUUCCAAGAGAUGGCGACACAUGUAACAUUUUCUUCAACCCGAUUGGCGCUUUUUCUUUAUGUUUUGCUUUAAUUGUGAUCUAAUUACUUGGUUUAAUUUAACUUCUAAUUAAUAAUUAGCGAGGAAAGGCAGUUAUUUAAUUUUCCUCAAGGUUAACCAGUAGAGUUAAUUUGGUAAGAUGACUUGUUUUAAUAUCUUUUGACGGUCAAUUUGAAAAUCUGGUUGGUCUUAUAAACAAUAAUCUAAAUCUACUGUUGCUUUUGUUAUGUGACAUUGUUUUAGAAACAGGACAAUACUGCCCAUUGUUGAGGUAAAUUGAAAAGAACGGUAACACUUUAUCUACAUGUUGCUUCUGCUGCUAUUGUUAAUACUAUUAUCAAGAAAUUUCUCACGAUGCUGAUCGCGAUGAUUAAGUUAUAUUAUUUUAAAGAGUAGAGAGAAAGAGAGAGAGAGCGAGAUGAAAAAACGAUCAACUGGAUUGUUGUGAUUUGAUUGAAAGGUUGGUCAACAGUUUGGGAAUGGAAAAGGUCAUAAGGCAGUAACACAUUCUUUGAUGAUCACUGGUCACACUAUCGUCAAAAACAACAAAUCAACAAGUUAAUAAAUUGACAAAUGCUAGUCAAUCCAUUUACUUCAACUGUUUGGAACCAUUUUACGAUUUUCAUUUUACAUUUAAAUUUACUCGUCAAUGUUUUUAAGCGUGUUACAAGGCCUUCUGGUUAUUGUAUCACCAUCAUCACCACCACCACCAACAACAACAACAACAACAUCAACAUCAUCAUGACUAUCAUCAUUAUCUUCUUAUUCACCAUCAACACGAUCUCUCUUCCUUCAAUUUCUACUCCUCGUCAACUCGUUUGGUUGGAUUAGGCAGCAAAAGCAACAACAGAAAACAAGCAAAAAAAAACAGGCUUGUUUUCAAUCUCAUCUUCAAUCAAUAUUCAAUAUGAACGAGAUUAUAAAUAAUACUUUUUCAUGAGGUUUAUUUAGAUUGUUAACUUGUAUAAUAUGCAUCGUGAACAUCGUGAAACAUCAACAAGCCCGUUUUUUUUUGCUUUUUCUUGUUUAACCCUUAAAAUAAUGUUACCAAACUGACUAAGUACAUUUUCAGGUAUUAACUCUUUCUAAUUCUCUUUCUUUCUCAGUCGUUCUUUCUUUAGAUUGGAUUCUCUUCCUGCGAAGAUGAUCUCAUCGAUGUUACCUGUUGAUAACCUGGAAUGAGCCAAAAAAGCGAGUGAAAAGAGAGAGAGGAUCUGAAGGAAAAAUGUUUCGCAUCAGAUACAAACAAUAUCAAAAUGAGAAUCACCAAAAGUAAAGAGUUGGAGUAAACAUAUUUGGCUAUGUUUCUAUUAAUGAUGAUUACUUUUUGAUGAUCAUCAUGUAAUCAUAACCAUGAUAAUCAUUAAUAUUAUCAUUAAAAAAAAUGAGUUAAAUCAAGACAGGAAGGGAAUUAUUAUAAUAUACCCAUGGAAAUGGUGUAAAAAUGAUUUGGAAAGCUGAAAUAUUAUUAUCGUUCUUGAUGAUAUUUUCCAUGAGCUGAUUUUUACUUGGGAUUUGAUCAACAAAGAUGACGAUUCAGACAGUGAAACUGAAAAUUUAUUAAAUCAAAAUUUUUGUCACCAAUUUUCAUGGAAAAUAUUUUGGCCAAAAAUCACACACAAAAAGCAGAGUUAUACUCUAGUGUCACGCGACUUUAUAUUGGACUGACGAGAUGAAUACAUUGAGAGAAGAGACAGAAAAUCAGAAAAAAAGUUGAAUGAACAGAUUAGUUGAAGAUGAAAAUUCAUCAUAAUCUCAUAUCAUCAACAUCCACCAUCACCUUCAUCAAAAAAAAAGAAACAUCAAAGAUCAACAUGGUUACAUUUAUCUGGUUGGAAAAAGUAAAACAUUUUUUCAUCAUCAACAUAAACAUGAACAUCACCUAAUCAUCUAAAUGGAAGCCAAAAGAUGCCAAGUAAAAAAAUGAAUAGAAAUUAAUUCCUGAAGAGAUGAGAGAAGAGGAAAAUUCUCAUGUGAAAAAAGGCCUGUCAACAGGGUUACUUUUUUUCUCUUAAACUUUUUCUCUUCCCUAUCAUUUUAUAUACAUUUUUAAGCUUCUUAUUCAUGAAUUUGAUUCUGUUUCACAAUCAUCAUGUUUCUGUCCUCUCUGCGUCUUUCACCCUUCAUGUUGCUCCAUGAUAAUCAGCAGAAAUAAAUAACAAAAGCACCAAGAAGAAGGAAAAAAAUUAAAGACAUAUAACGGCUUGA